GUUCCGUCCGGACGGCGUUUCCACGGACGCCCAGGAGACAACCCGUUGCUGAGCCGGGAGCGCUGACGGGCCCGGCUGGGCAGGGAUGAAAUUGAUUCUGCAGUAAAGAUGUUGCUGUCGUUAAAAAUGAGCUACAAAGCUGCCAUGGGGGAGGAUUACAAGGCUAACUGUCCUCCAGGGAACCCAGCACCUACCAGUAAUCAUGGCCCAGAUGCCACAGAAGCUGAAGAGGAUUUUGUGGACCCCUGGACAGUACAGACAAGCAGUGCAAAAGGCAUAGACUAUGAUAAGCUCAUUGUUCGGUUUGGAAGCAGUAAAAUUGACAAAGAGCUAAUAAACCGAAUAGAGAGAGCCACCGGCCAAAGACCACACCGCUUCCUGCGCAGAGGCAUCUUCUUCUCACACAGAGAUAUGAAUCAGGUUCUUGAUGCCUAUGAAAAUAAGAAGCCAUUUUAUCUGUACACGGGGCGGGGCCCCUCUUCUGAAGCAAUGCAUGUAGGUCACCUCAUUCCAUUUAUUUUCACAAAGUAAGUAUUGGAUCUUAUGGCUUUUCUUACUCUCUUAGUGAAUUGA
rnacentral:sRNA from 1 species